CCUACGGGUGGCAGCAGUGAGGAAUAUUGGUCAAUGGGCGGGAGCCUGAACCAGCCAAGCCGCGUGAAGGAAGAAGGCGCCAGGCGUCGUAAACUUCUUUUGUCGGGGAACAAAGGGCGCCACGCGUGGCGUUGUGAGUGUACCCGAAGAAAAAGCAUCGGCUAACUCCGUGCCAGCAGCCGCGGUAAUACGGAGGAUGCGAGCGUUAUCCGGAUUUACUGGGUGUAAAGGGAGCGUAGACGGAAAGGCAAGUCAGAAGUGAAAACCCAAGGCUCAACCAUGGGACUGCUUUUGAAACUGUCAAACUAGAGUACGGGAGAGGUAAGAGGAAUUCCUAGUGUAGCGGUGAAAUGCGUAGAUAUUAGGAGGAACACCAGUGGCGAAGGCGUCUUACUGGACCGAAACUGACGUUGAGGCUCGAAAGCGUGGGGAGCAAACAGGAUUAGAUACCCCGGUAGUC
rnacentral:rRNA from 1 species